rnacentral:rRNA from 1 species
AUUGAACGCUGGCGGCAUGCCUUACACAUGCAAGUCGAACGGUAACGCGGGGCAACCUGGCGACGAGUGGCGAACGGGUGAGUAAUACAUCGGAACGUGCCCAGUAGUGGGGGAUAGCCCGGCGAAAGCCGGAUUAAUACCGCAUACGACCUACGGGUGAAAGCAGGGGAUCGCAAGACCUUGCGCUAUUGGAGCGGCCGAUGUCAGAUUAGGUUGUUGGUGGGGGUAAAAAGCCUACCAAGCCGACGAUCUGUAGCUGGUCUGAGAGGACGACCAGCCACACUGGGACUGAGACACGGCCCAGACUCCUACGGGAGGCAGCAGUGGGGAAUUUUGGACAAUGGGCGCAAGCCUGAUCCAGCCAUGCCGCGUGCGGGAAGAAGGCCUGGUGUAACGAC